GGUCGGUUAGCUCAGUUGGUUAAAGCGUGGUACUAAUAAUGCCAAGGCCGGGAGUUCAAGCCUCCCACUGAUCA
rnacentral:tRNA from 1 species